rnacentral:lncRNA from 1 species
GUGAUUGUGGGAGCCAUCUUCAACCUUCUUCUUGCCAUUGAUAUUCUUUGGAGGGGAGAUUAGAGCCGUUUGAAGGGAGUUGUGAGAUCUUUCGAGAUUUCAAGGCUUCUUAGGACUUAUCUUUUAAUUUCUUACUGUCAAUUCUUUCUUUAUUUCUACUUGUGCUGAAUCAUUAUCUAAUCUAUUUUCUGUUCUUAUUGUGUUUUCAGCCUUUUUCUAUCUUAAGGAAUCAGCCG